rnacentral:lncRNA from 1 species
AGCCAUUCUAGAAUUAACUACUCUAAUUUUAACAUGCUUAACUCUUUUAACCUCUUAAAUCUGAUCACAGUCUAAAAAUACUAUAAUGAAAUUUAUGUACCGUUUGGUUCAGGUAUAAGCAAGAACUAGCUAUUACAGGAAUAGGUACAAGUAUGGAGAUAAGAAAAAUAGCGUUUGGAUGAAAAUUGAAUUGUUUCCGGGGAUAAGAAAAAUAGCGUUUGAAUAGAUAAUAUGGAAUAAGAAAAAUAUUAGAUAGUUUUAUAUAGAAAAUGAAGGUGUUAGUCGGGAUAGUUAUAAUCGGUUAUUAUAUAUAGAUAAUCGAGAAUUACUGUUCUCGAAUAAAAUAUUAGCGUUUGGGUAUAAAGGAGAUAAGGGCCCUAUCCCCUUGCCAAACGUUGAGAUUUAGUACUAUUAACUCCCGUGCAAGAUGUAAACAAUAAUUUGUGUUAUAUCCAACGGUCGUAAUGGUGCAACUGCAAAAUUUUGCUUCGUCUCGGAAUAGGGAAAAGAGGAUCAGAGCCGUACAAUUUAUCACACUCCCCAUUUCCACUUUGUCAUCAUUAUCACCAUCCACACGCUCAGAUGCAUUCACACAUUUCAUGCACGAUAUACACUUGGUACUAUUUAAAUAUUAAUAUUUUAAAAUUACUAUUAAUUUAAUUUUAAAAAUAUUAUUGAGAAAUGAGAAAUAAGUAUCUAAAAUUUACAAUAUUUUACACAUUUGUUAAAGUACGGAUGCAACUCACGCUUUACAUACAAAUAAAAAAACUUACCUGUAUUGUAAAAAUUACUUGUGUAAAUAAAAUAAACAUAUUUUAUUUAAUUAUAAUAAUCUAAUUUAAUAGUAAAAUAAGAAGAAAUAUAGUACAUUAGUUAAAUUCGAUAUGUAAAACUUUAAAUUAGUUUACAAACUUAAAUUGUAUUAAAAAUUAUAGCAAUUGUUUUAAGCAUAGAUGUGCUUUAAGAAUAAAAAAAUAUAUUUUUGGACGAAAAUUUGACAUAUUCAAAAUGUCUAUUCCCAUAUAUAUAUAUAUAUGACUUGGGCUACUAUCGGUAGUAAACUGCUCGGUUUACUACUGAUUUGUUUCUUAUGAUAGAGCUUUUAAAUCGACGAUCGGCAUCGUUGAACAUGAUCUAGACCAUUUAAAUUAUCUAGAAAUCAAAUUUCAUGAUUUUUUAGCAUCACUAACUGAACGAUCAAAGGGUCACAAAAUCUAUAAUUUUAAUGGCCGAUAUGGUGUGUUUGCUCGUUUAACGGUAUAGAAAAGUUCAAAUCAACUAAAUUUUUGUUAAAAAUUUUUUUAAACUAUUUAAAAUAAGAUCUAGAUUCUAGAUUUCAAAUAUAAAAAUUGUAUUAUCACUUUUUGAAGGAUAUUUAUUUCCAGCCAUUUAUUUUUCUGUUUACUUGAUGGACAAGAGAACAAUAUCGANAGUAGUCGGACUAUAUAUAUAUAUAUAUAUAUAUAUAUAGAGAGAGAGAGAGAGAGAGAGAGAGAGAGAGAGAGAGAGAGAGAGAACUCGGCUGAAAUAUUUAUAAUAGCACCAAGUCAUUGGCGCUCAUGGGUUUUCAACCUUUGGAUGACGUUUCGUGGGGUUAGGAUAAUAGUGGCCAUCAUAUGGUUAGUGGUUAUUGGUGAAUUAGUAUGAUACAAGGAAUAAAAAUAGUCAAAAGAUAGAUUUAGUAAUGAAAAAGUUAGUAACACCUAAAGCUGUCCAAAAUAUCUAAUAUUUAAUACCCAAUUUGGACCCUACUCGGAUUGUAUCCGGACUAGAACUAGACCCGAUAAAAAAUGGAUAGUAUAUGGGUCAAAAAAAAAAAAGACCAUUAAAAUUUCGGGUAUUAGUCCGGAUAUUCUAUACCCAUAUACAACUUGAACCCGAUCCGAGCCCGACCUUUUAACGGAUAGGGUCGGAAACAGUUUGCAAAUUCAGAUCCGGACAAUGACUCGGUAAAAUACUCAAUAGUAAAUAAAAAAGAUUUUAAGUUGAGGGAUCAAUUUCAAUAGGACUUAUAGAUGAGGAGUCUCUCUUUAUAUUUUCAUCCUAGUGAAACCCAGCCGUUAUGUUUACUCAUUUAUUUUUUUUUAAUUCUUAUUUUUUAAUCCUAGCCACUCUGUUUACUGCUUGAAUCUUUCUCUCUAAAUAUGGGUUCCUAUUUAUUGCUGGAGUUAAGGAAAGGAGUGAAAAGAAAAGGAAAAAAAAAAUCAAACCUUAGCCGCCUCUCUGAUCUCUCUGACCGGGUGAAACUCAUUAAAAUGCGAGUUUUUUAUAAUGCGAGAUUUAUGGUUUGUCCAUAAACCAUAAAAUAGUCUAUAAAAAAUAUGCACGUACGAGUACUCAUACCCGAUUUAAAUCCGACACUACCCAAUCUUAAACGGGUAAUAUAUGAUAGUCACUUUUAGACCCGCUCAAAUAGACUCGAUGGAUAUAUUAGGAACUUAAAUAUUCAAAUCUAAAUUCAAAUCCAAUCCGAAAUUAAAUGAGUAGGGCAUAUAUUUUUUUUUCUUACCCAUUUCUUUUUAGGAUACUGCUGCAGCAUAUUAACUACUCAGAUCCAAUCCGGUCCACAGACACCUAACACCAAAUAUUUUAUGCUAUUGGAAACACCUGAGCGAGACUAUCAAGUUUUCUGCUAUUAGAUCUACCCUUUGACUAUUUCCACCCAUUAAAUCAUACUAUUCAACCAACUAUCUACUUAACUCUACUAUCAUUUUACUAGUACAUUCUUUCAUUUAAGAGCCGAAAACUAAUGGCACCAAUGACUUGAUAGUAUUAAUAGUAUAAUAGUCUAGUUCUCUCUCUCUCUCUCUCUCUCUAUAUAUAUAUAUACAUAUAAUAUAGAAUUAUGCUAGAAUGCUUCUGAUAGUACUAAGUCAUUGGUGCUAUUAGAUUUUCGCCGACGAAGGAAUGUGCGGUUAUGAUGAUAAUGAUUCUCUAGUAUUGAGUAGGUUGUUGGUUAAAUAGUAUGAUUUAAUGGAUGAACGAUCAAAGGGAUAAAUUUAAUGGUGAAAAAUUUGAUAGUACCAAGUGCUUUGUGUUAUUAAAAACAUACUGGCUGAACUCUCUCUCUAUAUAUAAAGUAUUUACGACAUCGUGUUGACGUCAUUCAACUCGGUGGUCGAACCAGCGACACAAGACCUCUGACAAAGUUUUUGGAUCGCAAACGAUUUCGAGCAACGAAUUUGAUCAAAUUUAAUAAAUAAAACUUGCCAUUAAUGGAGCCUUGCUGUUACACUACAUAAUAAGAGGCUCCUGCUACAGUAAAGAGCUGACCAGUGACAUAAGUAUACAGGCCCCAUGAUUUUGGAACACCAUCAAACUCAGAAGUACCCUAAAAAGACAGAACCCUAAUUUCCUCCACUUUGUUCUCUCCUUGGACCACAUCUGCAACAUUCUCACUUGUUGAGAGAGAGAGAGAGAGAGAGAGAGAGAGGUUUUUUUUUUCUUUUUUUUUGGAUUAUUUUGGGGGCAGCUGAGGAGCUGCUGUCUAUUUGAAUACUUGAUCUCAUUACUGGCUAUGGUUGGUAGUCACAAUAAAUGCAUGAUCAGUUCUUAGUUGGUUUGUUUGAACAAAUUGUAAGUGCAUGAAAAAUAAGAAUAGUUUUUCAAAAAAGAAUUGCAAAUGCGCGACAAUAUAUCACUGACUAGUUGAGUGUACAUAGUUGUUAUUCAGGAUUUCAUUUAAGAGAACGUGUUCGAUUCCUUUUGUAAUUAUUUUAGCUGUCAGAUCGUCUCAAAAUUUGUACAGCACUAGCAAAGAAAACUUAAUGGAAUAUAUUGUUAAUAAUAUUGUAUGAAUUUUGAGGCGAUUCAAUGAUUAAAAAUUUCACAAGCAUAAAUUCUCCUAUGCUUUUAAAUGCACAACAGCUCAACUCUCUUUCUCUCUUUAUAUAUAUAUAUAGAAAGAGAGAGAGUCCGAUUACUAUACCAUCGAUAGUACCAAGCGUUUAAUACUAUCAAGUUUUUCGUUGUUAGAUUUAUCCCUUUGACUAUUUUCACUCAUUAGGUCAUACUACUCACCCAACUACUUACUCAACCCUAUGGGACUAUUAUCAUCCUAAUCGCACAACUCCUAAUCCAAGAGCCAAAAACCUAAUAACACCAAGCACUUGAUACUAUAGUAUAGUACUCUAAUUCUAUAUAUGUAUAUAUAGAAUUCAGCUACGUACUAUCUUUUUAGGAAAAUGGAGGUCUUUGUCCUCUUAAGUCGUUUUAGAUGAUAGAGAUUUCGAAUUGAUGAUCGAAACUGUUAAAAUUAAUCUAGAGUAUUGCUACAAAAUGUUGUAAUAAUAAAUGACUAAAACACAUGAUUUGUGUUCGCAAUAAAAUUGUUGCAAUAUAUUAUAUUUUAUAAUAAUUUAGUUUCCGAUAUAUGAAUUGAUAUAAUAGAAUAAAAUUGUUGUAACGAAAUCAAGUUAAGACAAAAUGUCGAGGGAACAAUUUUGAGCUCAAAGUAUAGUCCGAGAGGUCUCCAUACAUUUUUAUCUUCGGGAUAAUCAUUUAUAUACUCCUCAAAAUUUCUGAAAUAUUUUAUAUAUUCUUUUUUUUUUCAAAUAUAUCAUCGCAUAUUUUUCUAUUAUUCAAAAAUAACCCGUUGUUAGUAUCUAUUAAGUCAUUUUUAGUUAAAUCUGAGUUAAAUUUCUGUCAGAGUUAAAAAAAUAUCAAAAUAACUUUUUUAUUCCUAACUUAAGGACAAAUAAGAAAAGUUAAUGAUGGUAGAAUAAUAUAUUUGAAAAGAAAAAAUAUCAAAAUAAUUUUUUGCUCUUAACAUAGAAAAGCUAGUGACGACAAAAAGGCAUAUUUGAAGGGCAAAAUAAUAAUUUCACAAAAAUAAUGAUUGUUUAUAACAGUUCACUAACAGAUUUAAUUCUAAUGAUACGUAUAUUUGAAAUAACUUAGAACAUUAAAAAAAUAUUUUUAAUAUUAGCCUUCUAAAAAAAAUAAAUAAAUAAUUAAAAACUUUUGAGAUAUAUAUCAGGAAUUGUCCUUUUACCUUAAAUGGAUGUAUAAAUGCAAAGAAAAAAGGAAAGAGAAAAAAAAAAACUUAUAUUUUAUAUUUUAAGGAACACCUUUUGCUAGCUUUUAUCAAAUGUACCUUCAUAUUCUCCCCCUUUAUGAUAUCUUUUUUGAGAUAUAAAACAUCCAAAGAGAAGAUGAUUGAACAAAAACAUGCCAAUUAACUUUUCACCCUCAGGACUCAUCUUUUGGUUUGAGCAUGCAUAAAGUUGUACGGACGUCCCUUUUGCUCUUUUUCUUUUUUUUUUUUUUUUUUUUUUUAAANNNNNNNNNNNNNNNNNNNNNNNNNNNNNNNNNUUUUUUUUUUUUUUUUUUUUUUUUGGGAAAAAUUCAAAUAACUCUUUUGUGGCUUCACUCCUUCUCACUUUAAUACUCUGUGGUUUAAAGUAUAUCAAGUUAGUACCCUGUGGUUUCACAUUUUCUCACUUUAGUACCCUGUGGUUUAAAGUGUAUCAUGUAGUACCCUGUGAUUUCGCACUUUCUCACUUUAGUACCCUGUGGUUUAAUACUUCAUUAAGAGAAAAAUAAAAUCACGGUGUACUAACUUGAUAAAAAAAUAAACCAUAGGGUAUUAACUUGGUACAAAAAUAAAAUCACAGAGUAUUAACUUGAUACACUUUAAACCACAGGGUACUAAAGUGAGAAAGUGCAAAACCACAGGGUACUAACUUGAUAUAUUUUAAAUCACAGAGUACUAAAAUAAAAAGAGUACGAAACCACGGGGGGUUUCUUGAAGUUUCCCCCUUUUUUUUCUAAAAAAAAUCUUUUUGUCCCUUUUCACAAAUGAAUUAAAGGUUAAUUAGAAAUGUAAACUUUGUGCAAAAGUAGGAUAACAUAUUAAAUGGCUCAGGGACAAAAAAAUUGUACAAAAUUUUUAAAAUUGAGAUUUGAAAAUAUAUUAUUCAUGAGCUUCUGUUUAGGGACUAGUAGAGAAAUAUUUAUGCAUGCCUGUAAAUUAUAUCUAUAAUAUUAGAAACAGAUGUUCGUGCCUUUCCUCUUUGCGGUAUUUUUCAGAUUCCUGAAAAUGUGGGUUAAAAAUCGAGAAAAUUUUAUCUUAGGCUCGUCACCGAAUCUAAUAUGAUAGGAAUUUGUAAUUCUUGUCGAAUCUUAAAAUCUCACGAACUUUGAAAACUCCAAAUUCAUUGGCUUUUUUAGGGCUUGUUUGAUAUUGAGAUUAUCUAAUAUAUUAAUAGCAAAAUAAAGUACUAGUUUAGUUGAAAAUAUAUAGAAAUAUACUUCUCGAUUUCAGAUAUAACAUCAGUAUAUAUAUAUAUAUAUAUAUAUAUAUAUAUAUAUAUAUUGAGAGAUAGGUAUCACACUAUCCAUNNNNNNNNNNNNNNNNNNNNNNNNNNNNNNNNNGAGAGAUAGGUAGCACGCUUCCCGCUUCGUUUAUUUCAUUUAGAAAUAAACUUAGCUAGAAAUGUGAAUCAAUUAGGAUUCGAACUUGGGUUUCGGAUACCAACCAUCAAGCCUUUUGCCACUUACUCUAGGGACGGUCGGUCAUCAGUAAAUAUAUUAUAAUUGACUCAUUACUAUAUAUGUGAAAUGUAAUAUUACAUACGAAAAUAGAUAGAAUAUUUUUUUAUAUUAUAUUCUCAUUGUGAGUAAUACAAUCUCUCUGGCCAUAAUCCCUAACGAAGACUUAGUUUUUUUAAAAAAAUAAAAAUAUGGUUUGAACAAACUAAAUUAUCCCAUUCAAUUUUGAUAUUUAUCGACCUAUUCAAUACAAAACAAUAUAAAAUUAAUAUCAAUUCGUUCAAGUAAUUAAUAAUAUAUAGAAGUCAGCUUAGAGAUAUAAACUCAUUACUUUCAAAACCAAAGGCAAAAAUGAUAUGAUCCUAGGCAUUCCAAGAUGCGGAAUCAAAUAAAAAUGUUCUUACAUUAUUGAAAUUCAAUUCUUUUAGCUAGUUUUAUGUGAGUUUUAAAUCUCGUGAACCAUAGAUAUCCAAACAUGGAUACAGUGGUAGAGGAAUAAUAUUUAUAUAUAUUUAUUUUUUAACCUGUCUAAGGAUUAUUAUGUGAUAGUUGGACUAAUAUCUCUCCAAGAAUUAAUUAAAAAAUAAUAAUAAAUAUUGUUGUGACACUCCACUUUGGAGUCAUCCGUCGUAAAAGUAAUAUAGUCUUAACACGCUUAGUACUCUCUUAACUUUUUGAACUUAUCACCGACCGUCCCUAGAGUAAGUGGCAAAAGACUUGGCGGUUGGUAUCCGAGAUCCAAGUUCGAAUCCUAGUUGAUUCACAUUUCCAGCUAAGUUUAUUUUUAAAUGAAAUAAACGAAACGGGUAGCGUGCUACCUAUCUCUCAAAAAAAAACUUUUUGAACUUAUCCAUCGUCUAAAAUGCUAUAACGAGAUGUUAGAUGUGACUCGAAAUCUACUAUCGAUUCAGGUUCGGGUUUACGACUCGCCGACAGCUUCGUGGUGCGACCAAUUUGGAAAAGAAAAUUAUGGAGGAAAAAUGAAUGUCUGUGGUGGGUAGCGGAGGGCUCGGGCCGACAGGCCCGAGAUCCGAAACCCUUUAUGAGUUUUUCCUUUUUCGUUUAUCGUUUAUGCCCUAGAGGCAGGUGAUCGUGGUUGGUUGUAACCUGAAGAACUUGUAUUCCCUUUUUCGUUCCAUAGUGAAGAUCUCUCCUCCCUCGCCCGUGGUUUUUUCCCUGCAAAGGGUUUUCCACGUAAAUCUGUGUCUCUUUAUUUUUCUGCUUGUGGUUUGAUUGUUUUUGUGUUCGUCAUUUCGUUUUCGUUUGUGCGUUUGUCGUAACAAACUGGUAUCAGAGCCCUAGGUUCAUUGAUUAGGGUUUCUACAUCAAUGGCGUCCAUGAAAUAUGAUCUUCCUUUGCUCGACCACAGUACACGAUUUACAUUAUGGCAAGUGAAGAUGCGCGCAGUCUUGGCUCAGAUGGACCUAGAAGAUGCGCUGCUCGGGACUGAAAAGAUGUCUUCGUCCCUCAGUAUGGCGGAGAAGGAGAAGAAAGAUAACCGAAGUGCCCUUAACAGAUCAACUCAACCUUUCAAAUGAAUCUUACCAACAUGUCAAUCAAGGAAAGAAUCUGCGAGCUAAUCUUGAAAUGGAUCGUUAUCAUAAAUACGACUAAUUAAGCUCACCGAACCAACUCCAUCUGAAGCAACAUUUUUCUCCCUCUCGACAAAGGAAGAGCAUUGACCCAUCGUCGAGACUUAAAGAAUUAUACUUGAUCUGAGAUGAGUCUGUCUGAUGAUAAGAUUAGCGUAUUCCUUGUUCUUACGAUCCGUAUUACAUUAUAGAAAUUUUAGAGCGAAUCGAUUCCUUAAUGGAUCCUGAUAAUCUUUAAUAUUCGAUUCUCAUAACUCCUGCGCACUACCCGUUGCGAGAGGCGUGAUCAUAAUGUACCGCGCCCAGACAGUCAGCGGUCUCUAAAUACUCAAUACACCGCACAGACAAGUCCAAACGAAGCAAAUUUCGCGGUGACGAUAAGAAAAGGCAGAUCUAAAUCCAAGCAUAUACCUUUCAGACUCUCCAUGACUCCGCCAAAUUACUGUUACAGAAGAGAGGAGAAUCAUAUUAAGUGCCGGAACAAAGCUCUUAGCAACAAAAGUGAAUAAGAAGAACCACCCGCACCGAGAAAUAUUCUCAAGGAGAUCUGCAAAAAUGCAUCCCAAACAAACAUGACAAUCUACUCACAGGGCGAAAUGAAUCCUUAAGAAAGCCAAUUCGUGAAACCAUACGUAUCAAUUACAAUUACAUAAGUAACCUAAAGCCCCAUUGCUGAAGUCUGCCAAAUGUAAGUAUUAAGCAAGAAGAAUUGACACCUGUAUAAAAUUAACAAAAUAUGCACAUAAACGACCUACAGGACAGUAAAAUAAGCCUACAGCUGGCACGCAAAUAAUCAAUAGACAUCUGCAUUCAACCAAUCAGCCAACACAGAAUUGGAUCAGUAUUCGGUGCUCUCAUCGCUCACAUUGUCCCAGACAGCGAAUCUUUCCCAGCGAUGAACAAAUCCUCUGUCAAAACCGAACAUAAUAUAAUCUGUGUAAUUGUUAACUUGUUGGUGAUGAGCCGAUUACGUUAGUACUGCGUAGAAUGGAAUGCAAACUCACUCGCAUAAAGUUGUUGACACGAAAAAGAGCACUCUCGGCAUGAACAAACAUCUUAACAUCAUUUUAGACACACGAAGAAAAAUUUCACUUCAGAAACAUACAUCUGCCUCUCACAACGUUAUCCGUUUAACCGACUGUCAAAACCUAAAUUAAAAAACAAUAUCCAAGCUAAUUCAAAACAGUAAAUCAAUCACACUAUAAGACACAUCUCUAUGAACAGUUAACCAGCCUAACACUACGACCGCUAAGUAUACAAAUUCCAACAGAAAUUAUGGUGAACCACGAAAUUUAUACCUGAAUAUUCGUCAUCUAAAGGAGAUAUCCUUGUGAUAAACGAAGGCCAAGAAAGAAAUGUAGUGCGCAUCCAGGUUUCGAACCUGACAAGUGGACAAUGCUGCCGGAUUUCUCUCUAGCUUCCUCACUCGCUAUGCCUGAUUCCAUUCAGCCAUCACUGUACACAACCAUCCACCAAAAUUAUGCAUAACUUACAUGAGCUGCGACAUACUGAGCCGACAAGCGGUGGGAUCGGGCCCACGUCUCAUUGCUGGCGAGCCGACCCCGAGGAACUCUUGAUGGCCAAUAAAUUUCAUCUCCACUCCAUUUCUUGAUCUAAGUUCUAGGGAAAUCUACCUCCAGAACACUGCUACGAGUGGAAACAAAGUACCAGUUUCGAACGGAAGCAACUCCACAACGAAUCAAAAAGAACUCUAAGAUACAUCCACUAUAUUCUCAGAUCUUGGGGCCAGCAGCAACAACCGGGGCCAAUACCUCUAGAAGUGGAGCGACCGAAUAUAGCGACCUUCAAGAUGCACUUACCAUAAGAACAGUUGCAACAAUUGAUCCUACUAUCACUACAAAACCGAAUGACAGAAUGACGACAGAAUGCCUAGUUAAACGUCACCUCAUUCCCACACCACACAAUGAACCUAAGUCACAAGAUGAAAUACGUCUCAUUUAAUCAAUGAGCUUUCACAUAUUGAAAGACAGACUAAGUAUAUAUAAAGAACACUGGAUAACUAAAAUUAAUAGUAUCGCCGCUCAUUGAUUGAAAACUAUCAACACAACAAAUAUUCUAACAAUGAAUUUCCAACACUCGACAACUGAUUGGUACGUUCUGUUCACGGAGAAUUCAACUCAUUCAACUCACGUAGAACUUCUCAUAACCUAAAAUAAGGGAUCGCGACGAGACCAAUAAACUGAGCAUUAUACCAAAUCAAUCAUCCACCAUCGAUACACAUCGACACAAAAAAACCUUUGUUCAACUUGACAAAAAUACAAACCUUAUAAAAGUAAAUCAGGGACUUCAACAUAUUGUAAUGCUUAACAACAAAGAACCCCAAAAAAACAAACGAAAAAAGCAAUACAAUAUAGCGCGCAACAAACCAUAUCACCAAACAAAUCACCCAUAUUGAGAAACAGCAGCACAUCAACCUCUUAAAGAUAUUGAGAACAACUAACUAUACGCGUGGCUCGAACGUAAGAAUAAGAACAUUUGACGGAAAAGACAGACGUGUUCUAACUCUCGAAGAGCAUGAUCUUGGCGAGCGAGUUCUGGGCCAAAAUGCUGCAUCCUAACAGCCUUGCAAUCAAAUAUAUGUUGAACCUCCCGUCCCCCCAUUACGUCUAGUCUCGACCUCUAUUCUCCAAAGCGAAUACUAUGAAAAACUAUUUACCACUUGAAGAAGCUAAUGUACACCAUUGACCUGACCCACUCUGCGCGCCUCCUAAGUUACUCUGAUUUAAUAAAUUCGCAUGUCCUAUAUGCAACCAGCAAAUAGCAGGAAAAUUAAAACCUAGAUCAAAAGAACCAAGUUUAGGUUAUGCUUCUCGGGCACAAAAGGUUUUCGUCCUGUCGCGCUGUCGCUCCUCGCCAAGAUACACAAAAUUAAUACAUCAAGCAGAGCAUUCAAGUUAAGCGAAACUCGCGCGAUACCACCUCGCCAAACGAGGAUUGCCGUUUUCUGUGAAACAGUACAUCAUGCAAAUGAAAUAAGUCAGACCUGUGCAGCGUGCACACUACAACUGAACAACUAAUCAAUCUUGAAAAGCCUGAUCUUACUGAAUAGAGAUAAAUUCUGAUCGAGGUAGUGACGUUUCCAAAACACAAAUCUCUACGCCACACUAUGCCAAAAAUCAAGACCCUAAUAAUAACCAAUCGUUGGAAGCCACCCCCCCAGCAACUACUAAUCAUAACUAGUCAGUCAUACUACCAAUUAAUCAAUAAAUUGCGGACGAUUACUGCUCUAAAUCAACUACAUGAACCAGACGCGCAACCACGACAGACACAUAUUCUCGAUAGCUCAAGAUCGACCGAGAAAGGGAGAUUAACCACCCCCGCCAAGCAGCAAGAUAUGAAAAACAAAUUGUGGCUAUGCAUUUAGAAACUGCUUCAAAAUUGAACAGAUCGCGUCUGAGGACGCCGUCACAUAUACACGAGGUCAAGUCAUAUAACUAUCAAUUGUUCUCCAGUAUGGAGAGAAGAGGAAUGAAUCUCUCAUAGACAACUUGGACUAGUGAACCUCAAAGGAAAAGAAAGCUUUCGUUUGCAAUGGUGUCAGAAAAGAAGCACACCACAGAGAUUAAGUAGUCAGAAUACGAUCCCGUUUGCUUGCGAAAGCGGAUAGCAGUCAAAUUCCGUUCGACUCAAUCGAUGUUUCUCAACACCCUCCAUGUAAAAACAUACAAUCCAUCAGAUCCUACUGAUAUGUGCUAUAAUAGUUAGAACUUAGCAACCGAUCUAAGACGGCUUCUUACAUGGCGAAUUGGAGAAGAGAUUAUACUCACCAGCCCGAACGAUUCGUGGUUGAAGGAAAAGAAAAAACAUACGUUUUUUUGCACGAUUGAAAAAUCUCGUGUAUGAUUAAAGCAAAUCCUAAUGCAAAUGUACACAGAGGUUUUGAUAUCACUUAUGAAUACCAUUUGCAUUUAAUAGAAGCAAUUUUGAUAGUUGUGUUAUAUAAGAAUAAUUGAUGUCUUAUAUCUAUAAUUGCUCUUCUAUUGGAUCGAUACUGUUUAAUUGCCCUAAAACUAUGCUGACUGUUGAUGAUCUUAAAAACAUUAUCCGUGAAGUCUGAAUUUGAUGUCAAUUUCACGAAGAAAUACUUGAUAUGAGAUACACGAACAAAAAGCAACCAGAAUUACCGCUACUCAAGGUACACUCCACCCGCGUAGGAGCGCUUUGAUAUGAUGAGUAACCUGUAAUACAAUUCGCCUUUCUACAAUACAUUUAACUUCUUCACCUGAUUUGCCGCGAAAACGAUAAUCUGAAAAGCAUAUAUGGAACAGCCCGACCUCAGUCCGCUAUCGUACAUUAAAUGCUAGCAGCUCACCAACCAGAUAUUGCCUCGUAUUCACGUGUGAUAGGUACUGGGCAAAUGCCGCGGAAAGCAACAUUGCAAGCUGAAAAGGAUUUUGAAAUAUUUGCGAGAGUACACUAAAUGCCUGUUCUAGAGUUCGGCUAUAUCUCGAUACAUCUGGGACAGGAUACUUGGAUUCGGAUUAAUGCUGGAUAUCUUGAUAAUGAAAGAUCACUUUACGGUAAAUAUGCUUUCUCAUAUGGCGAAUGCUGCGCUAUAGUUGACGAGAGUUGUUACAGCCUACUGUGCAGCGUCUACGCCGACGACGGCGAGUCAUGCCGAAUCAACGGAGGCCUGUGAAGGAAAGGUAUUGUUAAUCAGCUACCUCGUGAAUAAGCUGAUACGACAGUCAGAAAUUAACCAUUUUUUGCGACAUUCAGAGUGCUAUUAUCCACUAAAGGAUCAACUUUCAUAAGAACGAACAUAAUUGACAUCCGAAGUAUCAUUUUAUUCGGAUGUCUCCAUUCUGGCGCGGCAACCGGAGACAUUUGAUGAAGAGUAGCACUUCAAAAACCUGCCGACAUUUACUGAUAGUUCUCUUAAUUCUCCAAUUCAAUGCAUUGUGCUGGACUUGAUUAGUAUUUAAGGCCUCUGAUGAUGAUCCUUAGUGUGAUGAGUGAGAGUUUAUGAUUGCGCUUUCAUUUAAAGGAUUUCUCCGUCAAGGUGAAUUUUUUGAGAUUGUACUCCGAAUCUAACAUCGGUUCAGGUUCGGUUUACGACUCGCCACCGGGACUUCUGCGUGCGAGCCAAACUGUUGGAAAAGAACAUUAGAGAAAAAUGAAAUGCAUUUGGUAGUCGCAGGCGCGCCCCUCAGGCCGACAAGCCGACCCCCCGGUAUCAUGUCUCGAAUCUGCAUCCCGAAACGUCCAUUAGAGUUUUCCUUUUCGUUAUUGUCGUUUAUCGCCGCGUACGAGCGUUGUGAUGUGUUGUUGGUAACCGAAUAACCUUUGGUAUGCCUUUUUUUCGUCCAUGUUAGAAGAUCUCUCCUCCCUCUNNNNNNNNNNNNNNNNNNNNNNNNNGGACAUAAACAUGCCGCAGCGUGUUUAUGUUUUCAUAUCGGUCCUUUGUUGGUGUUGGUUUACUUAUAUUUCUAUUGAUAUGUAAGUAUGUAAGUGGUAAGUGUAGUGUCAAAAUGUAAGUCACAAAUUUAUCUUUAAGUGCUUUUAAGGAAACUUUUGACAAGGGAUGUGCCUUUGGAAAUAAGCAAUUUUUGCGAUGGUGCUCCCCAUCUUUUGGAAAAUAAAAUGUUUUAGGUCUUUAGGUGUAAAAGUUUACAUUAUUUAUGACUUGGUGUAUUUGGUUGAUUUGAUAAGUAGUCGGUUUUAUUCUUCCCAUUCUUUCAUUUAGCUUAAUUGGGCCCAGCUUUCGAGUUAGCUGGCGAUGUGCGCAUGGAGUGCAGAGCAGGGUGAUGAGUAGCGGGUGCUAUAGACUUUUUACCACCCCCUCCACUCUUGUACAUUUGUACAGAGGGGAGGGUCACCCAUGGCGUUCGGCUUCUUCCGCUCCUCAUGAGUGGAGACUCUGUCCGUGUGAACAGUGGAUUUCCUGUAUUUGUGGCGGAUCUGGCAUACCCUGGGGUCAGGUUUGCAAAAAAAAAAAAAAAAAAAUUUUCGCUGUGUUUUUAACCUAAAGGGACCCCGGGGCGUGACAAAAACAAAAUUAAUAUUUAGCUAAAAAGAUGUUACACCGCUCAAAAGUGUGCAUGAACAAUAUUUCUCUUUUUAAAUAUUUUUCAAUAUAAAGGUACUAUAUUAUUUUUAUAUAGUAUUAAAAAAUUAAUUUAAAAUACAUUUUGUAUGGUAUAAUUGUUAGGAGUAAUAAGUCCAAAGGAAUUAGGUUACGGAGCAGGAGAAAAAAAGAGAAAAGAAAAAGAAGCAACAGAGAUCUCCCAGGGAGAGGGACAGGAGCAAAUCUACAUAAGUUUGUCCUCUUUCUCCCAUUCCAAUGCCUCACACAUACAUCCAACACUUAGCCCCCACCACUAUCUACAGCUUUAAUUCAAAUGCAUAAUAUGCUCUCUCUCUCUCUCUCUCUCUCUCUCUCUCUCUCUAUAUAUAUAUAUAUAUAGUUCGGCUAUGGUACUUUUAAAAACACCAAGUACUUGGCGUUUAUAAGUUAUUUACCAUUAGAUCUAUUCCUUUAACCAAUUCCACCUCUUAGAUCAUAUUAUUCCACCAACCACCCACUCAACCCUUGGUGAUCACUAUCAUCCUAACCGCACAUCUCUUAAUCUAAUGACCGAAAACCCACCGGCACCAAUGACUUGGUGUUUUUAAAAAUAUAUAAACUCAAUUAUAUAUAUAUAUAUAUAUAUAUAUAUAUAUAUAUAUAUAUAUAUAUAUUAACUCGAGGAUAUAAAAAUUUUCAUAGUCUAAUAACCACGAACUUUUAACUACCCUACACACCAAUCCUACUAUCUGUAGGUGUGAAUCUUACUAUCACUCUGGGGAUUCCAACUCACCCAUCAACCAACUUAUCAUACUAAAUUGCCUAACAUUACUAGUUUUACCAUCUAGAUUGCCAUUUUUUAAAUGUUCGUGGUUCACAAACUACGAAAAUGUUCGUAGUAUCGGUUUGACAUAUNUCAAAUCACGUGAAAUUUUGAUAAAAAAUUUCAAUGUCAUAUUAUCACGUUUUGUAAGAUUUUUAUUUUUAGCCGUUGAUUUUGAGCCCCUUCGUUCACUAGGCAAAUAAUAUCGAAAAAUCACAUAAUUUAUUUUCUAGGUACUUCAAAUACUCUAGAUCAAGUUAAACGAAGCCAAUCGACGAUUCGAAAGUCGCAACAUCGAAAACAACCUGGAAGAUCUGUGCUUCCAGAAGCAUAGUAGCCUCACUAUAUAUAUAUAUAUAUAGAGAGAGAGAGAGAGAGCGAGAGAGAGAGAGAGUCCGGCUAUGGUGCUUGUAAAAGCACUAAGCACUUGGUGCUUGUAAAUCUUUUACCAUUAGAUUUACACUUUUGAUCAGUUUUACCCGUUAGAUUAUACUAUUCAUCCAACCACCCACUCAACCCUAGGAGAUCCACAUCAUCCUAACCGCACAUCCCUUAAUCAAAGGGCCGAAAACUUACAAGUACCAAUGAAUUGCAAAUAUAUCCCUCUAAAUAUAGUGAGUUAAUUUCAUACAUGUCCCUCUAAAUAUAGUAAAUUGCAAAUAUAUCCCUACAAACUUCAACUUUCAUAUAUUGUUCUUACAAAAGUCCUAAUAUUUUCAAAUAUGCCCUUUUGGUUUGUUACCAUUAAAGUACUGCUUAUUUUAUAAGUGAAAUGACCUUUUGCCAUCACAAACAUGUCCCUUCAAAAGUCCCAAGUGUUAAGUGAAAAGGGCUAAAAAGGUCAAUUCACCUUAUUAACUAAUUAGGAUUAAGUAUUUUACUUAUAAUUAACUAAUUUUUUCUAAUGUAUCCUAACGGCAGGGGCAUAUUUGAAAAUAUCCGAACUUCUGCAAAAACAAAAUAUAAAAGUUAAACUUUGUAGAGAUAUAUUUACAAUUCACUAUGUUUACAAAGAACUGUAUGAAAUUAACCCUUAUUACAUACGUAAAAUACUUAACCCUAAUUAGUUAGUGUAGUGAAUUGACCUUUUUACCCCUCUUCAAUUAACAGUUGGGACUUUUGGAAGGACAUAUUUGUGAUGACAAAAAUGUCAUUUCACUUAUAAAAUAAACAGUACUUUAACGGUAACAAAUUAGAGUGAUAUAUUUGAAAAUAUUAGGAAUUUUGUAAGGGCAAUAUAUGACAAUUGAAUUUUGUAGGGAUAUAUUUAUAAUUCAUUAUAUUUGUAGGGAUCUGUAUGAAAUUAAUCCUAAUUAUAAAAAUCAAUUUACAUAAAAGAAUUAACUGAUUAUUUAUUUUUAAAAAAAUAAAUUAUUUUUUUAUAAUUUGCAAAUUAGAACUGAAAAUUUUUUUAUAGAAUAAUCUGGAUAUUUAGUAAACUGAUUAAAAUAUUCUCUUUUUUUUUCUUUAUUUACUCGCUUGUUCUUUUUUUGCAGUCUUCUUCGUCUCCUUUCUUCUCGCCUUUCCUUCAUCUCAUUUUUUUCUUGCUUUCUCUCUCUUCUCCUCCUCCUCCAUCGUUUACAUGUCGAUGCCGUACUUCUCUCUAUUUCGCCCACACCUCUGCCAGUGCCGGCGGCGAUGACGCAGGUUUGAAUAUGGUACAGAUUGCGGAGGUGAGCCUGUGGCAGGUGGCAUGGCUGUGGACUACGACGGCGACGAAAGUGCCAUAGUAUUUGAGUACGAUGGGAAGGGAAGGCACGUCAAGGCGGCGCGGCAAUUGCAGCAGAGGAAAAAUGAUGGGGAGGGUGGAGGCAAAAGGGAAAAAAGAAAAAUUGUAAAAAAAUGUGUUUUCCUUUUCUGGAAAGGUCACACGUGUCGUGGCCACUGUAAGGAAGGCCAACAAGUAGAGAAGAAAGAAAAAGAAAAAAGGGUUAUUUGCAUACACGUCCCCGCAAACAUAGUGAAUUGCGGAAAUAUCCCUGCAAAACGGAAACUCCAUAAGCUGUCCCUGCAAAAGUCCUAAUUUAUGCAGAUAUGUCCCUCUGAUUAACAUCUGUUAGAGAACUGUUUAUUUUUUAACAGUUUUUAUGUGAAAUGACCAUUUUGCCCUCACAAAUAUAUCCCUCCAAAAGCAUCUUCCCCCUCUCUUUCUCUUCCUCUUCCUCUUCGGGCCGCCGGAGCGGAUAGCGGCGACGGCGCGGGUCGAGCUCGCCGGCGACAAAGAAGAGGGAAGAGAAAGAAUGAGAGGAAGAAAAAAAGGGAAGAGGAAGAAGGAGAGGAAGAGGGAGAGGAAGAGGGAAGAGAAAGAUGAAGAGGGAAAGGGUUCGUCGCCGCGCGCCGCCGCCGCAUCUCCUCCCUCGCCGGCGACGAAGAAGAGGGAAGAGGAAGAGGAAGAGGAAAAGGAAGAGGGAGAGGAAGAAGAAGAGGGAGAGGGAGAGGGUUCGCCGCCGCCGUCGCAUCUUCUCCCUCGCCGGCGAUGAAGAAGAGGGAAGAGGAAGAGGGAGAGGAAGAAGAAGGGAGAAAAGGGAAGAGGGAGAGGAAGAAGGAGGAAAAGAAAGAGAGAGGGUUCGCCGUCGCCGCCGUCGUCGCCGCCGUCGCUGCCGCCGCCGCCCUCGCCGGCGACGAAGAAGAGGGAAGAAGAAGAUGAGGAAGAAGAAGAAGGGUAGGAUCGUAAAUUUAUCUUAUAAUUAACCAUGGUUAAGUACUUUAACCGUGGUUAACGAAAAUUUUCUAACAGUCCUUAACGGCAGGGACAUAUCUGCAUAACUUUAGACUUUUGCAGGGAUAACUUAUGGAGUUUCCGUUUUGCAGGGAUAUUUUCGCAAUUGACUAUAUUUGCAGGGACCUGUAUGCAUUUAACCCAAGAAAAAAUUACACUGUUUCAAACAAAAUUGUACUAUAUGAAACUAAGUUACACUAUUUGAGACUUAAGUUGCACCAUUUAAAAUCAUUUGUGAUUAAGUUGCAACUUUUCAAAUAGUUCAACUUAAUUUCAAAUAAUUUUAAAUGGCAUAAUUUACAUCUCAAACAAUACAACUUAAUUUCAAAUAGUACAAUUUCUAUUUUUAUGAUACAAUUUAGUUACAAAUAAUUUUAAAUUGUGUAAUUUAGUUUCAAACAGUGUAACUUAGUCUCAAACAGUGCAAGUAACUUUUUUUUUCUUCUUUAUUUUUUGACUUUUUUUUGUGGUGGUAUCGAUAUAUGAUUUUCUUCUCUGGAGAAAAAAAAUAUUUUUUUCUUUUUUUUCUUUUUCCCUCUCUUUAACCCUCUGCAUCUUUUUCUGCCACUGCACCGCCUCCUUGGCCCUCUGUCACAACCACUGCCCUCGCCUCAAUGAGCUCUCCCGCCCUGUUGUCCUCAAAUCUUGCGACACUCAUUAUCGUUGCCGUCUAUAGCAACGCUCUCUAUCACAGCCUAAUCUUUAUGAUCUGUGUCAUAUUCGAGCUCUUGUCAUUAUCGCCGACGUCAGCGGAGAUGUGGGUAUAGUAGGAAAGAGGAGCGCAGCAUCGACGUGGGGGCUGUGGAGAAAGAGGAGGAAAAGAAAGCAGGAUGAGAAAGAGAGGAAGGAAUGGCGGGGAUGAGAGAGAUGUACGAAAAAAGUGAAGAAAAACAAAUGAGAAAAAGAAAUGAGAGAGAAAGAUGAAUAAAUAUAUUUUGAUCGAUUCUAAAAAUUUAGAUCUAAUAUAUAAAUUCACAAAAUAGCCUAUAUUUGCCGAAAUGCAAAAUCAGUUGAUUUUUUUAUGCAAGUCAACCGCAUAUAAACCUAAUUAUAUAUGCGUAAGUUAUACAAAUUUUUAUGUAGGUAUAAAUUCCAAUCUAGCCGACUCAAAAUUAAGACUAAUAAGAACUAAGUUGGAAUACUAUCAAUAGCACCAAGUUAUUAGUGUUAUUAGUUUUUUAGCACUUGGAUUGAGAAAUAUGCGGUUAGGAUAAUGUGAGCCCCCUAGGGUUGAGUGGGUGGUUGGUUGAAUAGUAUAAUCUAACAGGUAAAAAUAAUUAAAAGGUUAAAUUUAACGGUAAAAAAUUCGAUAGCACCAAACCUUUGAUACUAUCGAUAGUAUCCCAGCUGAACUCGACUAAUAAUUUAAUAUAAUAAAAAAUGUUUAAAAUCACUUAUAGCAUUUUUCUUACCCAAAAAGCAAACAAUGCCUUUAAUUCACUGUCUCACAACAGCAAACUUGGAUCUGGUCCAACCACACCCACUCAUUAAUUCCAUCAAACCCGGAGCUCACUGAGUUUGCUGUUUAUUACCCUGCACUGCUAAAAUCCAACCUAACCCAACCAAACCACAAUGCUUAAAAAAGACCAAAAAUGAAAAAAUAAUCCUCUCUCUCUCUCUCUCUCUCAUUGGUGUCUCCUUCUCGAAAAAAAAAAAUCUAGAAUGCACCAGGUAUAUUGCUGAUGCUUGCGCACCCAAUCAAUAAAAUUAUCUUUCUUGAGUUGAUAUGUCACAUCGUAGUUAAUAGAAAAAUAUUUUUAUUAUACUUUUCUUUCAAAUAAAAAAAUAUGAUUAACUUAUUACUAAUGAUAUGGUGCAAGUAUGAUACAGUAAAUUUUCUCCUCCUUCUCACCCUUGGCUUCUUUUUAAAGAAUGGCUAUAUAAGUAGUCUAAGAACCUUUACCAACAUUUUAUCCCUAACCUUCUCUCUCUACAUACCCACCAUUUGUCCUCUCUCUCUCUCUCUCUCUCUCUCUCUCUCUCUAUUAAGGAGCAACAACAUUCUCUUUGGAGAAGAAGCUAUACCAAAGCUUGUUGAGGUUCUACAUAGUUUAAAGCCCAUUUUGAGGUAAGUUUUCGCUAGCUCUAUAUAUAUAUUGAGAUCUCUUGGGUGUUUUUUUUUGUUUUUUUAACUUGAGAUCUUUUGGUUUCUUUUUUUUUGAUUUAGUAUUCUCUAUAUAGGAAAAAAAUGGUGCUUUAAUUCUCCCUCUACAUUUCCUUUCAUUGAUCAUGUAGCAAGUGAAAUCUCAGUAUAAUAGUAAGCAAAACAAUAUAUUACAUCGCAGGUUGGUAGCUACUAUUAUAUAUUAUAUAUUAAUAUAUAUAUAUAUAUAUAUAUAUAAAUUAAUUAAAUGGAAAAUUAAACACACAUGGUUUUAAUUAUUGAAAAGUUUAUGUGGGUAGGUGUGUAUAAUUUUGUUAUUGAAAUGUUUUGAUUGUGCCAUAAAUGUUUAGGCCCCGUUUGGUUGAGGGAAUAGCGGGGAUAAUGAAAGUUAUCCCGCGAUUCCGCAAACGGGGUGAAAUUUGGCCAGGAUUUUUAUCCCGGUCAAACCUUGCUAUUCCGGUUUUCGGAAUAAAAGAAUUUGCUAUUCCACCAUUUUGAUGGAAUAGCACUAUUCCAAUACUUAAUUUCAAACUUAAUUAAAAUUAUAAAUUGAAUUAAAACUAAAUUAUAUAAUAUAUAUGCUUAUAUAUUAUAAUACAAUAUUUAUUAUAAAUUAUUAAUUGUAAUAUAUUAAUAUAUAUUAUUUAUAUUUAAAUAUUUAUAAUAAAUUUAUAAUAAAUUAUAUUUAAAUUUAUAAUAAUUCUUUUUAUUAAAUUAAGUUUAAGUAGAAUUUUAAAAAAAUUUUAUAAAUUUAUUAUAAUAAAUAGUUUUUAUUAAUUGUUCCACCCCAAUUCUUAUUUUAAAAUUUUAAAAAUUUUAAUUUUAAUUUUUUAAAAUUUUAUAAUUAUAAUACAUUAUCUUUAUUAUAAAAUUAUUAAUUGUACUAUAUUAAUAAUUAUUAUUUAUAUUUAAAUAUUAUAAUAAAAUUUAUAGUAUAUUUUAUUUAAAUAUUAUAAUAAUUUUUUAUUAAAUUUAAGUUUAAGUAGAAUUUUUAAAAAAUUUAUAAAUUAUUAUAAUAAAUUAUUUUUAUUAAUUGUUCCCAUCUAUUCUUAUUUUAAAAUUUUAAAAAUUAAAAUUUAAUUGUUAAAUUUAUAAUAUAUAAUCUCAAAAUUAAAGUUUAUAAUUUUAAUUUUUUAAAUUUUAAAAUUAAAUUUCGAUAUAUUUACUUUUGAAAUUUAAAAUUUGAUAUUUUAUAUUUUUCAAAUUUAAAUUUGAUCUUAAAUUUAAAGUUUGAAAUUUAAAAUUUAAAAUUUUGAAUUUAAAAUUUGAGAUUUUAAAUUUCAAAUUUUGAAAUUUCAAAGUUAAAAUUUUAAAUUUAAAAAUAUAUAUUUAAAAAUUUAAAAAUUUAAAUUCAAAUAUAAUAAGAGGAUAAUAUGAUUAUUUUUUAUUUAUAAAAUCCACUAUCUUUCUUAAUCCAUCUUACCUAACCAAACGCUAUUUUUUUUAUUCCCAGGAAUAACCCAAUUUUCAUCCAAACGCAAAAUUGAUCUAAUCCCCGCUUAUACCUCAAUUUAUACCUAUCCCUGGAAUAGUCACUUUUUUCUUAUCCUCGAACCAAACGAUACCUUAGAGUUUGGAGUUUGGUUGGAAAAUAAAGCGGGAACCAUAAAAAAAAUAUGUUUAAUAAUAAUUUUAUUAUUUUAAAUAUAGUAAAUUUUAUGGGCUAUCACUUAUGGUAAAAUUAUUUUUAUCCCCUUAUUUAAUUAAUAAACACCAAAACUGUAACUCAUUCGUGAAUUAAAUAAAACAACUACUACGUGAAUUAAAUAAAAGUUUGAAAUGCGGGAUGUUUUGGGUACACUUUGGAGUACGCGUAGCUCAUUCGUCUUUUUAUGUAGAGUUAUUAACAGCCCGAGGCGCGUGUGCCGCUCCUUAGCAUUCCGAUGGAAUUUUUGUGCUUACCCAACAAAACCCUUAUGUUAAAGUGACAAAAAUGCCCCUAUAGGUUUGAAAUUUGCCAGGGGUAAUUUUGACUUUUAACUACGCUCCUCGUACUUUGGUCCAUGUGUUACAGGGGCAACGAGAAAGAACUUAGUGGAAUAAAUCAAUUGUUGAAAAGUGAUAGCAAUGUUUUAAAUAGUUAUUUUACAUAUAUAAAAAAUAAAAAUAUAUAUAAAAUUUAUCUAAAUUAUAGAUCAUUUUAAGUUGACUAUUCAGUUUUUAAAAUUUUGAUAUUAUCAUCUAAUAUUUUAAUUUAUUUUAUUAGGAUCAAUUAAUGACUGUUUGACUUUAAAAUAUAAAUGCGUCGUUUAUCUUUACAGGUUUUGUUCGAAUAUUUCAUAUAAUUUUCACAAUUAUAAAUUUAUUAAAGUAAAUAAUUAAUUUAAAUUUAGAGAUUAAAGUAUUGUUGACUGAUUCGAAUCAAAGAAAUUAAAAUAUAUAGUAGUAAAAUCAAGUUUUUGAAAAGUUGGAUAGUCGACUCAAAAUAAUUCAUAGUUCAGAAAAUUUCAUAUGUUUUUACCUCAAAAAAAAAAUACUCUUGCCAAUGUUAUAUAGCUAUCUAAAUUUUGAAAUCUCUUUUAAAAAAUUAUAAACUUUAAAUUUCCUUUUUGCGGUUUAGCACAUUAUUUACGUUGCGACACUGUCGUUUACAAGCUUUACUUAACUACUUUAUGAUUUUAUUUUCAUUUCACAGUUAGAAAUUACAGUUUGAUAGAAUAGUAUAGUAAUAUUUUUUGCAAACCAUAAAAUUAUGGAAAAACUUCAAAUACCCCCCUUGUGGUUUCACUUUUUCUCACAUUAAUACCCUAUAGUUUAAAGUGUAUCAAGUUACUAUCUUGUGAUUUUGCACUUUUUCACUUUAGGGCAUGUUUGGUUGCUCGAAAGUCGGCGUAAUAGAAAAAGUCACUUUUACAAAAGUGACUUUUCAAUUCGAUUGUUUGGUUGCUAUAAAAUAAAAAAAUUAAAACUAUAAUUUUAUAAUUUUUUUUUAUUAAAUUAUAUAUAAAGAGGUGAAAAUAUAAACAAACGACUUAUACUUGCAAUUUAAAUUAAAAAUUUAAAUUUAUAUUAAUAUUUAGAAUUCAAAGUUAUAUUUUAAAAUUUAAUUUAAAGUUAAAUCUGAGUUGAAUUUAUAAUUAAAAUCAAAGACAUAAAUUUAAUUUACAAUUUGAAUUUAAAAUUUAAGUUAUAACUUAUAACUGAAAUUAAAUUUUAAAAUAAAAGUUCAACACAAAAAUUAGAACAUUUAUUCAAAUUUGAAUUUAUAAUUUGAAUCAUAUAUUAAUUUACUCUUUGAUCUUAAAUUUUGAAUUCAAAUAUGAAUUCACAAUUUAAAUUAUUAUUUAUUUUUAAAUUAAAACAUGAGUUUAAAUCACAAUUCGAAUCGAACAUUUGAAUUUUUUAAUUCGAAUUCAAAUUCAGACUGAAACUCAUUAUUGAAAUUAAAUGUAAAUAGCAAAUGUAAAUUUGAAUUUGAAUUUGAACUUGAAAAUUUAAAUUUUAAAUUCAAAUUUCAGUCAAUAAUUUGAAUUUAUAGUUGGAACAAUUUGAAGUCAAAUUUCAAAUUGAAGUUCUUAACUAAAAAUAAUUUGAUUAAAAUUUAAAAUUUAAAAUUUAAAUUUAAAUUCUAGAAUUCAAAUUUAAAUAAAAAUAAAUUUUAAAUUUUAAAUUUUAAUAUAAAGUCAUAAAAUUGAAUUUAAAAUUUUAUGUUGAAUUUUAAUUUACAAAUAAAAUUCAAAAUGUGAUAAUAAUUUUAAUUCAAAUUUAAAGUAAAACUGAACUUUAAAAAUAAAUUUAAGUAUUAAGUUAAGACUAAAUAUAACAUUUUAGCUAAGCUCUCCACUUUCGGUGACUUCCGAAUUUUUUGAGCCGAAGUCAAAAAAGUGAGAUUUGGUUAUAACUCACUUUAUCAACCUACUUUCGUAAAGUGACUUUCAUAUUCAUUUUCGUAAACCAAACAACCGAUGAAACGUCACUUUCUAAAAGUACCACUUUCGGUGUUACACUUUCGGCGAACCAAACAUGCCCUUAGUACCAUGUGGUUUAAAGUGUAUCAAGUUAGUAUCCUACGGUUUCACCCUUUCUCACUUUAGUACCCUGUGGUUUCACACUUUCUCACUUUAGCACUCUGUUGUUUAAAAACCACAGGGUACUAACUUGAUACAAAAAUAAAACCACGGGGUACCAACUUGAUACACUUUAAAUAAUAGGGUACUAAAGUGAGAAAGUGCGGAACCAUAGGGUACUAACUUGAUACACUUUAAACCAUAGGGUACUAAAAUAAGAAAGUACGAAACCACAGGGAGGUUUAUAAAGUUUUCCCUAAAAUUAUUAGUACAGAUUAUAGGACGAUAAAAUAUCAUAUUUUACAGUGUUACGGUUUUAUAUAUAAAUAUAUAUAUAUAUAUAUAUAGAGAGAGAGAGAGAGAGAGAGAGAGAGAGUGAGGCUACUAUGCUUCUAGAAGCACGGAGCCUUUCGUGCUUUCAGAUCAUUUUCGAUAUUGCCACUUUCGAAUUGUCGAUCGGCUCCGUUAAAUUUGAUCUAGAGUAUUUGAAGUACUUAGAAAAUAAAUUUUAUGAUUUUUCGAUAUCAUUUGCCUAGUGAUCGAAGAGGCUCAAAAUCAAUAAUUUUAAAGGCCGCAGUGAGCCGUUUGCAAGUUUAACGGUGUAGAAAUAUCCAAAUCACGUGAAAUUUUGAUAGAAAAUUCUUUAUACUAUAUAAAACAAGAUCAAUAUCUUUGAUCUAAAAUUUUAAUGUCAUAUUAUUACGUUUUGUAAGAUUUUUAUUUUCAGCCGUUGAUUUUGAGCCCCUUAGUUCGCUAGGCAAAUGAUAUCGAAAAAUUGCAAAAUUUAUUUUCUAGGUACUUCGAAUACUCUAGAUCAAGUUUAAGGGCUGAUCGCCUGAUUCGAAAGUCGCAAUAUCGAAAACGACCGUGAAGCACGGAAGGUCCGUGCUUCAGAAGCAUAGUAGCACUCACUCCAUAUAUUAUAUAUAUAUAUAUAUAUAUAUAUAGUCCGGCUACUAUACUUUUAUAAGUACGAUCGCCUUCGUACUCAUAAGUUGCUUUCGAUAAUAGAGUUUUCGAAUCAACGAUCCAUACCGUUAAACAUUAUCUAGAGCAUUUAAAAUUUCUAGAAAUCAAAUUUUAUAAUUUUUCGAUAUCAUUUAUUUUACGAUCAAAACCUCACAAAAUUAACAAUUUUUAAUAGCCGGUAUGAAAUAUUUGCUAGUUUAAUGGUGUAAAAAAAUCGGAAUAGGUUGAAUUUUUGAUAAAAAAUUCUAUUCACUACCUAAAUAAAGAUCAAUAACUCUGAUCUUAAAUUGAAGGUUCCAAUCAUCUAUUUUUAGUAUGUCGUUUGAUUUUGACCGUUCAUUUUAUUUCUGCUUGAUGGACUUUAUAAUGGUUUCAAAAAAUUACGAAAUUUAUUUUCUAAAAGUUUCAAAUACUCUAGAUCAUGUUUAACGGUGUGGAUCGUCGAUUCGAAAGCUUCAACAUUGAAAACAAUUUAUGAGUACAAAAGGCUCUAUACUCAUAAGAGUAUAGUAGCCCUCCUCUAGAUAAUGGAACUAAAUUAAUAGUUUACAUAUGGGUAAAUAAAACAAAUAAAAAAUCACAUGGUUUCUUUAAACCUUUUAAUGUUGGGGUUAUCAAGAGUAAUCAGACCAAAAUUCAAUAAUGUUUAUAUAUAUAUAUAGAGAGAGAGAGAGAGAGAGAGAGAGAGUAAUCCUUCAAUACAACAUAUAAAUCUUGACUUUUUUUUUUUUUUUGAAAACCAAAUUAACAAAAAAUAUUUUUCAGUCGAAAAAUUAUUUUUCGGAAUUUGUCAUGAAAAAAACCUAAUAGAGUAAUCGGACUAAUUUGCAGUUGGUUAAAAAUUUGAUAGUUGGUAAUCGAGAUUAUCGAGACUUCAAAUUUAAAGCCCAGUUAUUUUAUAUUUUUAACUAAGUUUAUUUUUGAAAAAUGAAUUUAGUGGAUAAUAUAAGUCAAGUGUUUGGUGACAUAAUAAUAUAAUAUUUGAAAGGGUAAAUAUUUUUAUUCUUACCACAAUCUAAUAUUUUUGGAUAAAGAGGAACAAAAAUAAUUUUUUGUUUAGUUUCACAUUUCUCAUUCCUAAUUCAUGUCGAAAAGCAAUGAAAAAAAAAACUAUUGAAUUAACUAAACAAACGCAUAAAAAAAAUAAUAAAUUUAAUUGAAUUUUUUUUUAAUUUUUUUUCCUUGAUUUCUCUGGACUUGGUAUUGGUGUCGGAAAGAGUACGAAAAAUCUAAAGAUAACCGUAAUUAUGUUUAGUUAUUUUCUCAAGAAUAACAGUGAAUAGUAGAAAAAAUAUGGCGCGGAUAACGAGACGAAAGUAGGGAUGCCAGCGGAUCGGAUUUGAGUUGGAUUUUCAAAAGCCCAAAUCUGCAUCCGACAUCUAAUAUCGAAACCCGAAUCUGGAUCCGUACUCAGCCAGUUUUAAAACUCCAUAUCCAUAUCUGACGCCGACCAAAAAUCCAAGACCCGAAUUCAAAAGCUCGACCCGAGAAUGAGGAGGACGUAGUGCCAAUGGAGACAGCGGAGAAAAUAGAGGAGAAGAGACCUGUUAGGAUUUGGAUGAUAAAAUGACUAUUUUUCAUCGGUGGAUAAAAAUUUAAUAGAUAAAAAUUAUUAAAUUUUUUUAUAUAUUGUAUAAAUAAAUAAAUAAAUAAUAUAAAAUUUAUUCGGGUUCGGACUGAAGUUCAGAUUUGGAUUUGAAUCAGAUGCAUACAAAAUCAUACCCGUAUCCGAAUUUGUCGAAUUUAGUGAAGGUAAACUCGCCUCUUUCGAAUUCGGGAUCAGGUAAUAUUUCGAAUAUUCAUAUUCAUCGAUAUUUCUAGACGAAAGGGUAGGUGAGAGUGCAGAGGCGAAGGAUAAAUUAGAGAAUAAUCUUAUUUUGCAAUUUUGACUCGUAUAAAUUAUUCGAAUCAAAUUUUAACUUAUUACAUAAAUAUUUUAUUACCGAACAGAGCCUGAGAUAUAGCGAGCCCACGUGGGUUUAGUGCAACUAAACCCAAUUUAAUUAAUUAAAAAUAAACCCUUAAAAAAAAGGACAAAUAGGAUGCUUAAUCGUACACGUGAUUCCAAUUUUUGUAUGCGCCCCACAAUUAGUAACGUUCCCUUGUCGGAAGGGUCUUCUAAAAUUAUUUAGGUAAAGAAAAAAAUGUAUGUUAAACCCCUCAACUAUAGUCCAAUUGGAAAAGGAACCCUCAAAUCUUUUUUUUUCUUUAAGUGUACACUUCUCAAAUUUUUUUAAAAUUAAUUUAUUAAAUUCAAUUAUAAUUUUGUUAAAUUUAACGGCUCUAAUUAUUUUCAUCAAAUAAAGCUGUAUAAACCGAUAACUGAUGUUUAAAAGAACUAUCGAAUAUUAAAAUCGACCAUCUUUUUGCUACGAAAUGACCAUUAUGUUUCCGAAAGAAUUUAAUUUUAUUUAACGCUAUUAAUGUCUUUUAAUUAUAUUAUCAUAAAUAAAUUUCAAAGAAUUAUUUUAAUGAGUAUAAGGGGUAGUAAAAAUGUAACGAUCAACUAAGGAUUAUCAAUCUGCAAGGAUAAAGUUGUAUAUUUUGAAGUUUUACAGAAAUAUAUGUGCUAAUUAAAACUUUGCAUCUAUAAUUUUAGAACAUUGUAGAAAAUUUUUUUUGGAAAAAAAACCUCAAUAAAAAAAUAUAAAAAUUAGGGACCAUUUACAAAGUUGUCUACAACUGAGGGGGUUCCCAGUAAAUUUUAACCAGUUAUUUAUUAAAACCCAUAUGCAUGUUUCGAUCCACCCCUUUGACCAAGUAUUUAUUGGCCACACUUUAACCUCUCUCUCUCUCUCUCUCUCUCUCUCUACUCAGGUACUACUCUCAGAAGCAAUUUUGAAAUUUGAAACUUUUUAUUUCAAAUUUGAGUUUUUAUUUGCUUUGACUUGUGUUCACUCUGGUAUCGUAAACUUCGAUUAACUAGACAUGGACACUGCUGAAAUAACCACUUUGUCAAAU